GGAAGCAUAGCUCAGUUGGUUAGAGCGCUUGCUUGACAUGCAAGAGGUCACUGGUUCAACUCCAGUUGUUUCCA
rnacentral:tRNA from 1 species